AGCGAACGCUGGCGGCAGGCCUAACACAUGCAAGUCGAACGAACCUUUCGGGGUUAGUGGCGGACGGGUGAGUAACACGUGGGAACGUGCCUUUAGGUUCGGAAUAACUCAGGGAAACUUGUGCUAAUACCGAAUGUGCCCUUCGGGGGAAAGAUUAAUCGCCUUUAGAGCGGCCCGCGUCUGAUUAGCUAGUUGGUUGAGGUAAUGGCUCACCAAGGCGACGAUCAGUAGCUGGUCUGAGAGGAUGAUCAGCCACAUUGGGACUGAGACACGGCCCAACCUCCUACGGGAGGCAGCAGUGGGGAAUCUUGCGCAAUGGGCGAAAGCCUGACGCAGCCAUGCCGCGUGAAUGAUGAAGGUCUUAGGAUUGUAAAAUUCUUUCACCGGGGACGAUAAUGACGGUACCCGGAGAAGAAGCCCCGGCUAACUUCGUG
rnacentral:rRNA from 1 species